UAGUAGUAGCAGAACCAAGAUGCUUAAAAGUUUACCCCACUUUUAAGUAGACAAAGGCACUUUUCUCUCUCACACUGCUUCUUCCACAAGCAAAUUACAACUUGUUUUUAUACCAAUAAACGCCUUUCUUCUCACCUUCAUCAGGCUCCACGUAAAUGCACUCUUUUGCUUCUCUCCACAUUGCCUUCACAACCGGGGUCCCAUCAAAGUGAUAGUAUUGGCCCAAAAUUGGCUUGAUUGCCUUGGUUGCUUCCAUGGCAUGGUAAUGUGGCAUUGUGGACACCAAAUGAUGAGCCACAUGAGUGUCCGUAAUGUUGUGGAAGACCUUGUUCAAGAUGCCGUAGUCUCUGUCUACGGUUGCCAAGGCACCUCUUAGCCAGUCCCAUUCGGAGGAAUCGUAAUGUGGCAGUGCUGUGUGAGUGUGUUGAAGGUAUGUGAUUAGGACGAGGAAUCCAUUUACGAUCAGAAGUGGAACUCCGUAAACACAAACCACCCAAGCCAAUCCUUUGGCUAGAACAAGGCGGUAGAGCCCAUAGGUGACAGUUAGCAGCCCAGCGUCCGAAAUGAAUAUCUGUAACCGCUCACGGUCAGUGUAGAUGGGACCGUAUGGGUCAUAGUGGCAGGCAAAACGGUCGUAGGGACGGCCAGAGACGUUGAAGGCCAAGUAAAGAGGCCAGCCUAGGACCAGUUGGAUGGUGAGGGUGAGGACACGGCCUACAGGGUUGUUGAUGUAUGUGGAGUACCAUUUCAUGUCGGAUUUCUGUUUAGGGACAAAGACUUCAUCUCGUUCAAGAGAUCCGGUGUUGGAAUGGUGUCGACGGUGGCUGUAUUUCCAAGAGAAGUAGGGGACCAUGAGAAACGAGUGGAGGAUAAGGCCAACGGUGUCAUCCAGCCACUGGUAAUCACUGAAGGCGUGGUGGCCACACUCGUGGGCAAUGACCCAAACGCCAGUAAGGACGCAGCCUUGGGCAGCCCAGUACAAAGCCCAGGCUGGAUAAAAUAAGAGGCUAGGAAGAUUUUGGAAAUAUGUGGUUGCAAUGUAAUAGAAGAUAGAGGCUAAGGUUAGGUCAUAAACGACAUAGGAGAAAGAACGAAGGACUGAACGUUGAAAGCAAUGAGGUGGAAUAGCUUUCUUGAGCUCACCAAGUGUGAAUGGGGGUUUUG
rnacentral:lncRNA from 1 species